CCCAAAUUACUACUAAGUGGGAAACGAUGUGGGAAGGCUCAGACAGCCAGGAUGUUGGCUUAGAAGCAGCCAUCAUUUAAAGAAAGCGUAAUAGCUCACUGGUCGAGUCGGCCUGCGCGGAAGAUGUAACGGGGCUAAGUAGUAAACCGAAGCUGCGGCAAUGUGCUUUUGCACAUUGGGUAGGGGAGCGUUCUGUAAGCGGUUGAAGGUGUGUGGUAACGCAUGCUGGACGUAUCAGAAGUGCGAAUGCUGACAUGAGUAACGAUAAAGGGGGUGAAAAACCUCCUCGCCGGAAGACCAAGGGUUCCUGUCCAACGUUAAUCGGGGCAGGGUAAGUCGACCCCUAAGGCGAGGCCGAAAGGCGUAGUCGAUGGGAAACGGGUUAAUAUUCCCGUACUUCUUACAAUUGCGAUGGGGGGACGGAGAAGGCUAGGUGGGCCUGGCGACGGUUGUCCAGGUUCAAGUG
rnacentral:rRNA from 1 species